rnacentral:rRNA from 1 species
CUAGCCGUAAACGAUGGGUACUAGGUGUUGGAGGAUUCUACCCCUUCAGUGCCGCAGCUAAUGCAUUAAGUACCCCACCUGGGGAGUACGAUCGCAAGGUUGAAACUCAAAGGAAUUGACGGGGGCCCGCACAAGCGGUGGAGCAUGUGGUUUAAUUCGAUGCAACGCGAAGAACCUUACCUAGGCUUGACAUGCAGGGGACAGGUGUAGAAAUACAUCCUUCCUUCGGGACCCUUGCACAGGUGC